CUACGGGUCGCAGCAGUGGGGAAUAUUGCACAAUGGGCGCAAGCCUGAUGCAGCAACGCCGCGUGAGGGAUGAAGGCCUUCGGGUUGUAAACCUCUUUUAGCAGGGAAGAAGCGAAAGUGACGGUACCUGCAGAAAAAGCACCGGCUAACUACGUGCCAGCAGCCGCGGUAAUACGUAGGGUGCGAGCGUUGUCCGGAAUUAUUGGGCGUAAAGAGCUCGUAGGCGGUUUGUCACGUCUGCUGUGAAAAUCCAAGGCUCAACCUUGGACUUGCAGUGGGUACGGGCAGGCUAGAGUGCGGUAGGGGAGAUGGGAAUUCCUGGUGUAGCGGUGGAAUGCGCAGAUAUCAGGAGGAACACCAAUGGCGAAGGCACAUCUCUGGGCCGUAACUGACGCUGAGGAGCGAAAGCGUGGGGAGCGAACAGGAUUAGAUACCCGCGUAGUC
rnacentral:rRNA from 1 species